AUGAACGCUGGCGGCGUGUUUUAGGCAUGCAAGUCGAACGAGUCCCGCAGCAAUGCGGGACGAGUGGCAAACGGGUGCGUAACACAUUGGUAACCUGCCUCAGUCACGGGGAUAACUCCGCGAAAGCGGAGCUAAUACCCGAUAGUCUUUCCCGUCGUAUGGCGGGACAGUAAAGACGCAAGUCGGAUUGAGAGGGGCCUAUGGUCCAUCAGCUAGUUGGUGAGGUAAUGGCUCACCAAGGCUAAGACGGAUAGCGGGCGUGAGAGCGCGACCCGCCUCAGUGGAACUGAGACACUGUCCACACUCCUACGGGAGGCUGCAGUCAAGAAUAUUCCUCAAUGGACGAAAGUCUGAAGGAGCGACGCCGCGUGCAGGAAGAAACCCCUCGGGGCGUAAACUGCUUUUCUCUGGGAAUAACUCUGAAGGUACCAGAGGAAUAAGGGGCUGCUAACUUCGU
rnacentral:rRNA from 1 species